UACGUAGGGUGCGAGCGUUAAUCGGAAUUACUGGGCGUAAAGCGUGCGCAGGCGGCGCGUUAAGACAGGUGUGAAAGCCCCGAGCUUAACUUGGGAAUUGCGCUUGUGACUGGCGAGCUGGAGUUUGUCAGAGGGGGGUGGAAUUCCACGUGUAGCAGUGAAAUGCGUAGAUAUGUGGAGGAACACCGAUGGCGAAGGCAGCCCCCUGGGAUGUGACUGACGCUCAUGUACGAAAGCGUGGGGAGCAAACAGG
rnacentral:rRNA from 1 species